UGGCUGGAAAGGGAAAAGGGUGACACUGACAACCAGCCACCUUGGUGGUUUAUGGGACCUUUGAGGAGGCUGCAUUGAACCCAAAGGACCCAGGAAGACCCCUGGGACUGGCGACUGGGAAAUCCUAACUCUUGAUGGAACUCCAUGGUUGUGGGAGUCUGGUGAGCCUCUCACGGCUGGAGGGGACUUCAAAUGGGGAAGAGAUACAGAGGGCAGCAGCCUAAGGCUACACGAAAAGAAUGAUACAAAGAAUGGACCAUUAAAGUCCAAAAAGAGGGCGAAAUACCGACAGAAGGGUCUCUGAACUUUUGUCCACUGUGAGAGUAACAUGUUAACGUUCCAUGAUCACCUUGGAAUACAAGGCAGUUAGUCAUGCUAGACCCACGUGAGAUUUCCCUUUUCGGAACCUAUGGCCUUCUUCAAGCUUCCCUUGCAGGGAACCAUGUGGCUGUGUCUCUCCUCAUGUGGCUUCAAGACCAAGACCUUUGGGGCCAUUUCUUUGCAGUUUGAACCAACAGAUGACAUGAGAAAGACUCCAGAAACCAGCUUGUGCCCCAAGAAUGGUUGGAAUCAGGAGCCAAGACAAACUUGGAAUGAUGGCCAUGGUGCCAGGUACCAGAUCAAAAUAAAGGAAAGCAAAUCAACCACAAUAUCAACCUCCCAUUCCUGAAUGGUACCUCAGAGGCCAUAGAAUAGUGGCUCUAACUUCCUGAAACAGAAACCCACCACCAAGCAAGAACUGCCUGUAUCAGAGUCUGCAAGAUCUUCCCAACCACAAAACAAGAAACUGAUGGGUCAUUAGUCGAAGUCUGAGCCUGGGGCCAGAGCACUUCCUGUCUCUAUGAUAUUGGGCUUGGAACCAACCAUGCCCCAAGCCCUGAAGAGCUCUUCUUGGCUAGACCUUGUGCCCUCCUACCACUGAAGCUCUUCCCAAGCACCAUAUGCCCUUUGGGGAAAUUAGUGGAGGUUAGAGAGGAACCUAGCUCUGCAGUCAAGCUGGGGAUGUUCUAGGAGCCAAAGGUGAGGAAACAUCGGAGGGUGUGAAUUAAAAAGACAGAAGAUU